rnacentral:tRNA from 1 species
GGAGACUUCCUUUAUCGGUAAGAAGGGUUGAGCUGUAAACUCAAUAGCGACAGCUUUUAAGAGUUCGAAUCUCUUGUCUCCU